AAGAGGCAGAAGAAGAGAAACAAUCUAUCUUCUUCCAAAUAAAAAAUAAAGGAAGGAGAUAGGAAAGGGUUGAAAAGGAUAAAAAAAAAAUUACAUUAGAUACAUUGUUGGCUGAAGGAAAAAAAUUCAAAAAAAUGGCUCGUGGAGCGAUUAUUGCAUCCAUGCUCUGCCUUCUGGCUGUAGCAGUGGUGGCUGAAGACCCUUAUAUCUAUUACACAUGGAAUGUGACCUACGGUACCAUUUCACCUCUUGGAAUCCCCCAACAGGGUAUCCUCAUCAAUGGUUUGUUCCCAGGACCUGAAAUCAACUCCACCAGCAACAACAACAUUGUCAUCAACGUGUUCAACAACCUUGACGAGCCAUUGUUGUUCACAUGGAGCGGUAUCCAGCAGAGGAAAAACUCAUGGCAAGAUGGUACAUUGGGAACUCAGUGCCCCAUCCAGCCAGGAACCAACUACACAUACAAGUUCCAGGUCAAGGACCAGAUCGGUAGCUACUUCUACUACCCCUACACCGGCCUCCAGAGAGCCGCCGGUGGAAUCGGUGGUUUGAGAAUCUACUCCAGGUUGUUGAUCCCUGUCCCAUAUGCUGACCCUGCUGAUGAAUACUGGGUCCUCAUGGGUGACUGGUACGCCAAGCCCCACACCACCCUCCAGAAGUUUUUGGACAGUGGUCGUAGCCUUGGAAGGCCAGAUGGCGUCCACAUCAUGGGUAAAAAUGGUAGCCCAGUCCCACUCUACACCAUGGAGCCUGGAAAGACCUACAAGUACAGGCUCUGCAAUGUGGGUAUGAAGGACUCCCUUAACUUCAGAAUCCAAGGCCACCCAUUGAAGCUUGUUGAGAUGGAAGGCUCCCAUGUGGUGCAAAACGUCUACGACUCCCUCGACAUCCAUGUUGGUCAGUGCUACUCUGUCCUCGUGACUGCCGACCAGGAACCAAAACAAUACAAGAUGGUCGCCUCCACACGCUUCACCAAGAAGGUGUUGUCCGCCACCGCUCUCAUCACCUACUCUAACGGUAACGGUCCCGCCUCCCCUGAGCUCCCACCUGCACCUGAAGGCUGGGCCUGGUCCCUCAACCAGUUCCGUUCCUUCCGUUGGAACUUAACCGCUAGUGCUGCCAGGCCUAACCCUCAAGGCUCUUACCACUACGGCCAGAUCAACAUCACCCGAACCAUCAAGCUCGUGAACACCGUCUCUAGGGCUAACGGAAAACUCCGAUACGGAAUCAACGGUGUGUCCCACGUUGACAACGAAACCCCACUCAAGCUCGCCGAGUACUUCGGUGUUGCUGACAAGGUUUUCAAGUACAACAUCAUCUCCGAUGAGCCCCCGGCAACCAUCGGUGACCUCACCUUGGCUCCCAAUGUCAUUAACGCCACUUUCCGUACCUUCAUCGAGAUCAUCUUCGAGAACCCCACAAAGGUUGUUCAGUCAUACAACUUGGAUGGUUACUCCUUCUUCCUUGCCGCAGUUGAGCCAGGGAAAUGGACACCCGAGAAGAGGAAGAACUACAACCUUUUAGAUACAGUGAGCAGGCACACCGUUCAGAUAUACCCCAAGUCAUGGGCAGCAAUCAUGCUUACAUUCGACAACGCUGGCAUGUGGAACUUGAGGUCAGAGCACACCGAGAACCGCUACCUUGGUCAACAAUUGUACAUCAGUGUCUUGUCUCCUGAACGCUCUCUCAGGGAUGAGUACAACAUUCCAGAAACCCAGCUCCUUUGCGGCAUCGUCAAGGAUAUGCCCAAGCCCGCACCCUACUCUUAAGCAUUUAUCAACCUGCAUUAAGACGAUGUAUUAGCUUUAUUUUGUAGCUGAUGUAUCCACCGACCCUUUCCUGAAUGCCACAAAUUUUCAGCUCCAUAUGUAUACACAUAUAUAAUAUGAAUGUCAAAUUCUCCUUCCAAUCCACUUCUAUGUGGGUUUUGUCAUGGAAUAUGUACACACAUCAGUUCUUUCAUUAAUUUCAAGUGACGGAAAUUAAACUUUACUCAAGCUAGAGCUACUACGACCUGAGCUCACACCAUAAGCAGAAGGAUAUAUAAUUGAACUAACCAAAAGAACUAAAUAUUAAGAAGAAAUUAUUAGUCUGUUUGUGCUGGUUUGGGUGGGUUGUGCCCAGAGGCGGACCCAGAAAUUUUGUGACACCUGGGCAAAAUUUUCACAUCGUCUUGAAUAUUUGGAGGAUACUCAUUAAUUUGUUUCCUACGCCCUGGAUCACGCACAAUCUCAUUCGGAUGAAACUCAUUGACCACAUUAGGCGAUGGUUCUACUUCGGCUUCCGGUUGUACAACAUUCACAUUCUCAAUACUUGCUCUAGGAACCAAGAACUUCCUCAUCUCUAAAAUUUAAUGAUCUAAAGAAACAACAAAGAAAAGCACAAUUAGAAAUUAUGAUCAAAUUAAAAAAGCACUAAAAACAACACUAAUAAAUAAAAAUGAAAAGGAGACAAUCUAUAUUCACAUGAUUAGUAUAUUGGAUGUACAAAAAAUGGAAGAGAAGAGAUCAUGGACCACAAGCAAUUACCAAAUUUUGGACCACAAGCAAUUACUAAAUUGAAUUGAAUACAUUACACAUUAUACAAUAUACAUGGCAAAUGGCAAUUGUUGGCAAGUGGCAAACCGCAUCUCAUGACUCAUGUAAUCUGUCUCUCACACUUUUCUAACUUAUCCUUCACACACUCACAUAGUCACACAUGACACAUACAAUUAAUAUUUGAUUCAAGAAUACCAAACCCAACUCACUCACGCAUCUCUCACUCUCUGUCUCACUUUUCCCUUUUUUUUUUACCUUUUCUGCCUUAACCUUUCUCUCAGUCUCUCACUCAGUCUCUCUCACCGCUCACCUCCUCUCCUCUGUUCCUCUCGACAACGCCCACGCCACGCCUCACCCACACGACACGCAGGCCGCAACCGCGCCCUCACCCACACCGGCACACGCAGGCCGCAGCCACGCCCACGCCCUCACCACCCACCGCCUCAGGCGGCCCUCACCCACGCCCUCACACCACAGCCCACAGGUCUCACUCACGGCACACCCCCUCACAGAGUCACAAUAGGAUAUUGAGAUUUACAGAGCAAAUAAGUUUGAAGCUAGGAUGGAGAAAUCAGAGAGAAAGAGACCUGAUUCCUGAAGAUUGAAGCUUGAAGAGUAAGAGUACUCAGAGAGAAAUGAAGAUUGCUGAAGAUUGAAGGGAAGCCUGAAGAUUGAAGCCUGAAGAUUGAAGUCAAUUGAAGUCUGAGAAGGAAAUUGAAGCGUGAUUUGAAGCCUGAAGGGAGAAAGUGAGUAGGAAAUUGAGAAUAGGGUUUCUAUUUUAUUAUUUUCCCCUUUCUUUUCCCCUUUAUAAAAUAGUCCUCAAUUUUACCCCAACCUUUAAAUUUUGCCCUUUUUUAUUUUUUUUUUGAGGCCCAAAAGAUGAUGUGGUCCAAAGAAAAAAAUUUUUUUUUGGUCAGAGCUUGGGCAUUUGCCCUAGGUAGCCAGGCGCUCAAUCCGCCUCUGGUUGUGCCUAUAUACUAGCUAAUAUCGGCAUUUGUUUCGUUUUUUAUUUGUAUUUUCCCUUUGCUAAAUUUUGUACUUUGUUCGUGGGUUUGAAGUACCCUUUUACUUCCUUUAAUAAAAUGUUUCUAUAAAAAAAAAAAAGAAUAAUAGAGCGAUCAAAUGGAAAUGUAUAUGCUUAAUACGGAUUCAAAAUUCUAAACAUUCGUUCGUGGUGUAUAAAAUGCACUGUUUAUAAGUUAUUUUACAAUGAUGAGCCAUUAAAUUGUUUUCUAAUUUUUUCCCGAGUAAUGAUAUAUACACACCUCCUUAUUUAUACACUUCAUUUCCACCUAUUUUUAUUUCUAUCUCUCUCCUCUUAUCAUCUAUCAUAUCUUAUACUUUCUCUUUCUUACUUUUUAUUUUCUUCCUAUCUCUCUCCUCCUCCACCUCUUUCCACCUCAAUUUAGAGGUGUGGACAAAUAAUUAUUGAUUUUUUCCCUAUUGUGUUGUUUGGAUAUAUACAAUUGCAUACGUGUCAUGUGUACUUGUCAUUUUAUAGAUUUAAAUAUGUUUUUAUCAUGACUUAUAUACACUUAUAAUAUAAUACUAGUGUUUUUUUCCCGUGCGUUGCACGGAAAAUAUAUCUAUUGUUUUUUAUACAUCAAUUAAUCAUGAAUGUGAUUAUGCGAGUUCAUUUUCAGUUUUUUUUAAUUCUAAGUUAUUUAUGUUUUAAUUUUUUUAAAGUUGUUCUCAAUAUGUGUUCAGGGAACACGUGUCUACAAUAUCUUAGAUAAUUAGGGACAACCCUUUAAAAUUUAAUGGAUUAUAAUCUCAGCACUACAUAUUUUAUUUUCAAUCAUAUUGUAGAUCAUGAGAAAGAAUAAAAGGAGAAAUCAAAGGAUUCCUGUAAAUAUGCAGUAAAUUAGACUUGAGACUUUUCCAAAUUUAAAGAGAUAAUGAAAAUGGUUUCAAGAUUUGUUUUGGAAAUAAAUUUAGUAAGGAGUAAUCUAGGUUAUUCUUAGAUAAUUAGGGCAAAUCUUUAAAAAUUCGGUUUUAAGAUAAAAUAACACAACAGAAGAGAAACUAUCUAAUGGAAUGACACGUGAAUAUUUUUUUUAUGGGAAUUAACCUGAGAAUGACAAGUGAAUUUUUUUUUAUGAGAAUUAACAUGAGAAUGACAUGUCACUAAAUCAGCCUGAUAUAAGUUAUUCUUUUCUAUUGUAUAUAUAUUGGUUGAUGGUAUUCGAAAGAAAAAUCCUCUUUUUUCCCCUAAAUAAUUUUGUUUUAUUUAAAAUGGUUCCUCUAAUGUCAUAAUGCGAACAAAGGUUAUAGGAAAUUAAAGUUUGUGUGGGGAUAGACUGUAAGGAGCUUGUUUCUCUUGCGAUUGAUACUAACAGAGACAGAAUCCGAGUCCAUCCUCAAGCCUCCAUUAUCCGUGAUAUUAAGAUUCUCCUGGAUUUGGAUUGGCGGGUUGAGCUUUCCUGGAUUCCCAAUGAAGCCAAUGUUGCGGCUGAUUGCUUGACCUAACAGGGCGCUCAUUCAUCCCUUCCUGGGUUGCAUAUGGUGACUAAUGUUGCUCCUGAGUUAGACUGGUUGAUCCUUAAGGAUGCCUUAGUUGUUCCUUAGUUUGUUGUUGCUCUGUUGUCAUUUUUCCGAAGCACCAAAAAAAUAAUAAUGCUUAUUUGUCAUUUUUUAGUUGGGAUAAAUAUGUAUUUGGUUCUUAAACUAUAGCGAAUUAUUAUUAUUAGUCCCUGAAUUAAUUUUUCAUUGAAAUCCAUCCCUUAACUUGUUGGCGUGUGAGGUUUUGGUCCCUCGAGUCAUUUGAAUGAUUACGUAGCAUAGUGACGUGUAUGUAUUUUAUGAUGUGUUAUUUUUAGUCUAAAAUUUCAGUUCAAAUAUUUUGUGUGCUUUCUCCUUUGUGACAAUUUUAAGCACUUAAAAAUCAAGUCUUUAACCAUAAAAUUUUCCAUCUAUUUUCUCAACUUCUCUCCAAAUUUUCUUUUUAAGACUUUAUCACUAAUUGCAUAUUCAAUUAAACAUCAUUUUUAAGACAAGUUUUAGAAUAAAAAUAUUCUCCUUUUCCAUGCAUAGUCUCGCUCAUACAUUCCUAACUAUCAUGAUUGAUUAUCUUUAAAAUCAACUAACAGAAGGUAAAUCUAUGAUGAAAAAUAAUUCAAAGUUUAAAAACAAGACUUUAAUCAUUAAGAAAUUUCACAAGACUUAAACUUUAAGGAAUCAAAUUAGAGGUCUAGUAUGCUUUUGCAAAAUCGAAUAAGAAACCUCACUCUAUAUUGGAAUAGGCUUUUGCAAAAUCCAGUUUAACAAAAUGCCACCUUCAUCCAUUUUCUUCAACAAAUCAACUAUUUCAUUUGCUUUAUACAAUGCAAUUAGCUAUUUGCCUCUUUCUUUUUAUCUUGUUAUUGCUUCUUUUUGUUUCUUUAUGCUUUUGUGAGAUACUAUAUUCUUGACUCAUAGUUUUUUUUUUUUUUUUUGAAAUAAGAAUGAACUUUCAAUAAUACGGGAAAUCAGAACAAGCUACAUCCAUGAUGUUUGGAGGGACAUACCCCAUCGAAAUUGAAUCAGAAGAAGAACAAGCUAUAUUAGCAAGAAAAUGAGCAAGGUUAUUCUGUGUUCUAAAAACAUGAGAAACAGAAAAAAAACUCAAAACCAGAAACUAAGCUACAGCAAUCAUCAAUGAUAAGUUGGAGAUCUGGGGAAAGCUGUCCAGCCCGAAAACCACGCGCAACAACAAGGGAAUCUGUCUCAGCCAGAACUCUGGUAAAACCAUGAUGCACCAUGAGUGUGAAUGCCCACCUCAAAGCCAAGGCUUCAGCCAUAGAAAUACUUACCUCAACCUUACAUCUACUGCAAGCAGCCAUAACCACCAAACCAGUAUGAUCCCUAAGGACACACCCCAUACCGAGCCACCCUUCCUUGAUGCUGGCAUCAACAUUUAAUUUGAGUUUCCCUACAUCUGGAGGCUGCCAUCUUCUCAACUCUUUGGGUUUCUUCUGCCUUAUGUGCCCCUCAUUCCUUGAAAUGAACUCUCUAUCAAAAAGAGAAGCAACCUGAAAAGCUCUUACAGGAUCAGCAACCUUUCCUGAAAAACAUAAGUCAUUCCGAGCCUUCCAAAUGGACCAUAACACAUGACAAAUCAAGGACAAGUGGUCACAAUCAUUCAACCCCAACAGAUUUUGAAACCAAGAAACCACCUCAGCCGAAUUGAGAACACAGUGGGAUAAACCCGACCCAAACCAUACAGCCCUGGAAAAUUCACACUCAAGAAACAAAUGAUGCAAUGACUCAGAAGCACCACAACAAAGGGGACAAACAAUAUCCAGAGCAAUACCUUUUUUCACAAGAUUUUCCCUAGUAGGCAAAAUCCUAUUCAUCAAUUUCCAGAGAAAAAUUCUGAUUUUAUGAGGAACAUCAACCUUCCACAAAUCAUUCCAAGUUGAACAAGGAAGAAAAGAACUAGAAGCACCAGGGCCAGAACUUGAACAUGAACUGAGCAUUUGAUAGGCAGAUUUAACAGUGUAAUUCCCAUCAUUGGACCAAUGCCAAGCAAACUUGUCUUCAGGGAGCCUAAUCGAAAGAGGAAUUGAUAGAAUCUUAUCAGCCUCAAAACCCAUAAAGGAGGACUUAAUUAAGUCCUCAUUCCACCUUUUCUGCUCAAAAUCGAUAAGCAUACUGACCUUAGCAUCCUUAGGCAGAUCAAUUGCAGGACUCCAGACCUUAAACCCUGACUGAUUAGGCAACCAACCAUCCUGGAAAACUCUGACAGAUUUACCAUUCCCAAUAGUCCACCUAGAGCCUUUAGAAAUCACAUGCCUCGCAGCUAGAAUACUCCUCCAAGAAAAACUAGGAAGAUACCCCAACUUAGCAUCCAUAAAAGAAGUCCUUGGGUGGUAUCUACUCUUAAAAAUCUGAGCAACCAAAGAAUCAGCCCUGUUAAUCAGCCUCCAACAUUGCUUACCGAGUAUUGCAUCAUUAAAUUUUCUAAGGCACCUAAACCCCAAACCUCCAACAGCCUUUGAUCUCUUAAGCCUUUCCCAACUCAUCCAAUGAAUUCCUUUAUCCUUAGAAUUAUUUCCCCACCAAAACCUAGCCAUCAUACUCUCCAUAGCUGAAACACACCCUUCAGGAAGCUUAAAACAGCUCAUCACAUAGGUGGGAAUCGCUUGCGCAACAGACUUCAAUAAAACCUCCUUGCCCGCACUUGAUAAAUGCCUCUCCUUCCACCCCUUUAACCUCUUCCAUAUCCUAUCCUAGACUAGAGAGAACACCACUUUCUUUGAUCUCCCAAAAACAGUGGGAAGACCAAGAUAUCUAGAAUGAGAUUGAACAGUCUUGACACCCAUCCUUUGCUGGAUUGCAUUUCUAACAUCUACCGGCACAUUAUGACUGAAAGAAAUCUCAGAUUUAUCUAGAUUCACCAACUGUCCCGAUGCUCUCUGAUAAUCAUCAAGGAUGCUCAAAACAGAAUCAGCCUCUUUGAGAGAAGCACGAGCAAAAAGCAGACUGUCAUCAGCAAAUAGGAGGUGUGAAAUCACCGGGGCACCUCUUGCAAUCCUCAAUCCAUGAAUCUGCUGGUCUCUCAUCCUGGAAUUGAUUAAACAAGACAAGGCAUUAUCACAUUGGAUAAAGAGAUAGGGGAAAUCGGAUCCCCUUGUCUCAACCCUCUAGAGGGAACAAUUUUGCUGCUUGGAAAACCAUUGAACAGAAUUUGAUAAGACACCGAGGAUACACAAUCUAUGACCAGCUUAGUAAACCUGCUAGGGAACCCCAUAUGGACCAAAACACCCUUGAGAAAGCUCCACUCCAUCCUAUCAUAUGCCUUUGCCAUGUCGAGCUUCAAAGCCAUCAUUCCUUUUUUCCCUUUUUUCUUCUUCUUCUGUAAGAUCAAGUUUUGAUCUAGUAGUACAACUCUAUGUUUUGAUGAUUACAAGUUAACCUUUUGAUAUGAAUAAUUAUGGUACUCUAACGUGUUUUUCUGAGUGUGCUAUUUACAGGCUCUGACCUUGAUUCAGUCUCACAUAAAUCAGAAGCACUGUGCAUAAAGAGUGACCCAAGCAACGCUUUCGCAACAUCUAUGUUCACUCUGAACAGUAGAAAUGCUUCAGAAGAUCUGAAGUUAUACAAACUCUGAUAUGGACUCAGCCACCAGAAGUUCUGAAGAUCCAGAAGUUCUGACAACCAAGAAACUCUGAAGGUUCAGAUGUUCUGAUGGUGUAGAAGACUCUGAAGAUUCAGAAGCUGAACAGUGGAAACUCUGAUGUCCAGAAGCAAGAAACUCUAAAGACCAUGUACUUCCCUCUGAGUCCAGAAUCAGAAGAUACAACGGUCAGAGGAUCUGUGCUUUCCCUCUGACUCUGAUCAACCGGCUUCACAAGUUCCAACAUGAAGCAUUCCCCUGAUCAGAAGUCUCCUAGGUUUAAAGGUCAAGUCGCUAUCCAAGUACAAAAGCAAAUUGUACUAUCCUGACGACCUACCUAACAUCCUCAGCCACAGCAGAAGCUGGAAUUUCCAGAACUUCCCUCCAACGGUAGCAUUUCCAUGCAACGUUCAACCCUAAUCCUUGGAGUAUAAAUAGAGGCUGAAGAUUGAAAGAAGCGGCUAGAAGCAUUCAUACACGCGCAAGAAAUAUUCAAAUCCUUCUAAGCUUUCUUUCAUCUUGAAUUUCAUUGUGUUUACUAUAAGCUUUUUAGAAGCACCUUCUUUGUAGACAAGAACUUCAUAUACAGUUGUAUAGUUUGCCUUUAGGAGAUCAAGGUUGAUCGGAUCCUUGAGAAGACUAAGAGAGUGAAUCUUAGUGUGAGCUAAGUCAGUGUAUUGUUAGUCACUUGUAGGUUUCAAGUGCAGUUGUAACACAUACCUGAUUAGUGGAUUGCCUUCAUUCUAAGAAGGAAGAAAUCACCUUAACGGGUGGACUGGAUUAGCUUGAGUGAUUUAUCAAGUGAACCAGGAUAAAAUCCUUGUGUGCUUUUCUAUCUCUUAUCUUUAGCACAUAGUUUGUUUCGAAAGAUUUGCCAAAAUCUUUAAGGUGGAAGUUUUAUCUUGAAAACGUUAUUCAAACCCCCCCCCCCUUCUACCGUUUUUCAUACCUUCAUCUUCAACCAAUGGAAACACUCAAGGGUAAUCAAAGCAUUAUCGGUAAUGAGCCUACCCGGAAUAAAUGCACUUUGAGCUGGAUCAAUAAUCUUCGGCAACACCCCUUUGAUCCUAUUAGCCAUUGCUUUAGUGACUAUCUUCAUAACAACGUUGCACAAACUAAUGGGCCUAAACUCCUUCGGGAUGGAUGGCUUCUUACACUUAGGAAUAAGGGUAAUGAAAGUGGAAUUAAUACUUUCCGGACUCAAACCCUCAUUCAGAACAGCCAACACAUGCUUAACAACCGACGCACCAACAAUGUGCCAAUACUCUUGGAAGAACUUUGCUGGGAGACCAUCAGGCCCAGGGGCCUUGAGAGGAUGCAUUUGGAAUAUGGCCUUAACAACUUCAUCCUCCUGAAAAUCACUAUCAAUCAAAUCCACAUCCUGCUGCUCCAACUUGGUGUCAAUGGCCCUGCAAAUGUCAGGGGGUUCCUCCACCAUUUGGGAAGUGAAAAUAGAUGAGAAAUAACUGUUCAGAAUAGCAGAAACGUUCUCAGGCUUGUUGUACCACACACCAUCCUCUCCUUUCAGCUUUUUAAUGCUAUUCACCGCCUGCCUUUGAUUUGCUUUAGCAUGAAAAAACCCAGUAUUCCUGUCCCCAUCUUUUAACCACAUAGCUCUGCUCCGUUGCCUCCACAUAGUCUCUUCAAGCUGCAAAAGCAGCGAGUGUUCUUCUACCAUCUCCUUAAAUUUCGCCAGAUUUUCAGGUUUAUCAUCCCAAGAAGCAUCCUUCUGCAACUCACCCUCUAGAAAAAUGAUUCUCUUUCUGAAAUUUCCCACAGUGUAACCUCGAAAGGUAUUCUUAAGACCUUGAAUACUACCAAGCUUCUUAACAAAAUCAUCUCUUUGCCCAAUCCAAGCAUGGAAGAUCUCCUCCUCGCACCUUGGAUCCAAACACCACACCUCUUCAAACCUAAAAGGACGUUGUUGUCUUCUCAUAGGGACAUCCAUAAACUUCUCAAUGGAGACAGAAAUAACUGCAUGAUCUGAACCAUAUCUUCCCAAGUGCUGCACAGAACUAGCAGGAAAAAUCUGAGAAAAUACCUCAGUACAUAAAGCUCUGUCCAGCCUAGCCUGAAUAUUUGCAUCACCUGAUAUGCCAUUAGUCCACGUGAGAGGAUAGCCACUAAAGCCCAAAUCAACUAGCCCAAGAUCAUCCAUAACAUCCCUUCCCCUCUGCAACUGAGAAUCAGACCGCGAAAUACCACCUUUCUUCUCAUUGUUCGAGAUAACAUCAUUCAAGUCCCCAACCCCAAGCCACCUCAACCCCCCCCCCUCCUGAACUAGAGACCUGAUUAGAGACCAAGUCCUCUCCCUCAGCCUCGUACACGGGUAGCCAUAAAUCCCAGAAAAACACCAAGGGUCUUCAUCCUCAACUACAGAAACAGAGAUAUGAUUGUUUGAAAAAGAAAUGAGAGAAACAUUCAAAGAUUCAGACCACCACAAAGCUAGCCCCCAUUUUCUCCCCUUGCCAUUAUCAACACAAUCCACAACCAAAAAAUUCUUAAGACCAAAGUCCAACCUUAUUUUUUCAAUUUCAAACUUUUUCAACCUGGUUUCCAUCAAGAAAACCAAUUGAGGAAUCUCUUUUCUUACGAGCCUUUGCAAGGCCCUAACUUCCUGGGGACUCCCCAAACCCCGGCGGUUCCAGCUAAGGAGUUUCAUGGCUGUAGGCAAUGUUGGUCUCCCAACAUCGCCUCUAAAUGAGCAUCAGCCAUAUCCACAUCCAUCAUCAAUUUCUUGCUUAAGUGACCCCGAAAAGUCUCAUCAUCCACUUCCACAAUAUCCACAUCAAUCAGGCUUCUCUUCUUAUCUAAACAAGAGAGGACUUUGCAAUUGUCACAGCAGCCCUACUAGCAUCAAGUCUCUUCCAACCUCUCUCGGUAGUCACCUUCUUUUCACUAGAGCUCCCAACACAAAAAGAUAGCUCAGCCACAGGAGCACAAUUUUCCUUAACCUCAGAAUCUGAGCCCUGCUUUAGAACAACAUUACCAAGUGCCUCAAGCACAUCAUCCACUUGUUGGACCACCAUACCACACUCAACAGCAGAAUUUUCAGGGGAAACAUUUGUGAUAUCAGAUAGAACAUGACUAGACAUCCCACCCACAAGAAACUCCUUAGCAGGCCCAACAGAAACAACACUUGGGGCCUUAGCAUCAGCAGCAAGUUCACCUAUACUUCUUUCAGAAACAGGAACCACAGUAGAGUUCUCAAGAUCAGCAAAAGGAACUCUAUCAGCAGACACACCAGAAUUCUUAGUAUCUGAAGACACCUUAUCAACCAACAAGCACAAAUCAUUUUUCCUUUGAACAUCCUUAUGCCUGGUUACCACCUUGGAACCACCACAGCCAAACCUAACCACACCAACAUCAUCAGAACGACCCACGGAUCCCUCACCAGCCCUCCCCACACCAUCAAUAGCAGAACGAAAUAGGGACUCACAACCUUUAGACUUCAUAGGAUGAGCAACAUCCUCACCAAAAGGGGAAGCCCUCAACCAUGGCCCAAAAGGAAAGUCCACAGCAUCAUGAUCCUCCUCAACAUCCUCAAAUUCAUUACAAUCCUUGAUCUGAUGGCCUAUUCUUCCGCAAGCAAAGCAAAAAUUAGGAAGCCUCUCAUAUCUGAAAUAAACCUUAAGCUCCUUCCCUUGCCAAAACAACAUCGUACCCCUGAGAAGAGGCUUGGUAAGAUCAAUGGUAACCUUAAUCCUGAAGAAGAGGCCCAAACGGUUCUCAAGCUUACAAUCAACCUCCACAAAGCUACCAAUUGAAUCCCCCAACCUCCUGGCAACUGCUUCAGACUUCAAUUUCAGAGGGAGAUCAUAAACCCUCACCCACAUAUCCACAGAGGAGAGCUCAAUUUUAGAUGGCUGAUCUUCAUCACUGAAUUUCUUAAGCACCAAUAUACUACGAUCGAAACUCCAUGGACCCCCUUGGAUCACAGAUAUGAGAUCCUUUGAUGUAGCAAAUUGAAACAAGUACCGAUUCUUGGAGAUCUCAUUGAUUUCGACUGGAUGUCGCCACGCCGCCUUCAUAGUGUUCAUGAACGCCCUAACAUUGUGCGAACCUUCAGACCACAACUUCCCAGCCAGCAACCGAGAGGUAAGAUCAUCAUCUCUACACUCAUCCUCAUCGAUUGUAACACUGCUCUGGAUCUCAGAAGCAUUGAGAUCGAAAUUCCGAUGCAUCGUAGAACACAGGGAAACAAGGAGAAAACUACGAAGAGAGAAAAAACAGGAAAGAGACAGAGAAUCAAGGAGCGAACCAGAGAAUCAGAGAGCAAGAUGAAGAAGAAGAGCCUAGGGAGACCUAGGAGAAGACCACCAAGUCGGUGGAGAUCUUGACUCAUAGUUUGGUCUAGCCCUUACUGUAAUAUAAUUCUCUUUUAAUAUAGAGUUUGGGCUAGCUCUUUUAAUAUAAUUCUCUUUUUGGUUUUCCGAAAAAAAAAAGUGAAGGUAAAUUGGCCUCCAGAACCUUUAAGAUAAGCUUCUAUUCACUCCCAAUCAAACUGAUGGGCCUGAAGUCAAGCAUAGAUUGUGGAUAUUACGUUUCAGGAUUGCAGAGAUGAAAGGAGCAUUUAAAACCCUUACAAUUUUCCAAGACUCAUGGAAUUCAUGGAAGAAUUUGACCUCAUUAUUGAGAUUGAGAUUGAAUUUGUCCGGGCCGAAGCUUGAUUUCCAUCACGAUUUUUAUCACUCCCCAAAGUUUCAAAUUCUGAAAAGUUUGCUUCUAAACGAGCCUUAUCCCUGUGACUUAUCUUUGAAAGUUUGAGCAUCUGAGCUUGCAAUUGGGUCGCACCUUAUUUUCCCUUGAAAAAAAGGUUCUAAAUGAUUGAAAAUGGCCACCUCUGUUCAAAAAAAAGAAAAUGGCCACCUUAAUCGAUGUUGGAUCCUCAAUGUAUACCUCACCUACGUUCAAUUUCACUAUUCUUUUCUUUGCUUUCCUUCCUUCAACUAGCGUAUCCUAGCUUUUUGCCUCCACUUUUCAAAUCGUCACAACUCAACGACAUAAUUUAUCUGUCGCAACAUUCGGAACAGACUAUUACAUUUUUAUUUACGUCGUAUCAAAUAUUAUUAUUUCUGUAACCAACGGCGUCGCAAAAUUCAGGACGAAGCAUGAUAGUUUUAAUUCCGUCAUAACAAAAAAACAUUAUUUCUGUCAUCCAAUCGGUCGUAAAAAAAAUUUCUUCAAAAAUAUAAGUAUAUUCCGUCCCAAAAAAUUGAUUUCUUCCAUCGCACAUUAAUUAUUAAUUAAAUGAAUACUAUAAUUCAAUAUAUUAUGUCCUUAUUUCUGUCCCAAAAGCGCGACGAAGAAACAUUCUGUUCUAAAAACUUUGCGACGCACAAAAUCGCGAUGAAAUGUUUCAGUCGCACAUCCGUCCCAAAAUCAUUUAAGAAUAGAAAUUUUAACAAUCGUGUGACGAGGGCGGCGAUGUUCAACUUGAUUCCAGAGGAUUGGGGUGGUCACGUCACGCCUUGGGUCUCAGAGAUCAAACAGUACUUCAAUCGCCUCAAGAGUCUCCACUUUCGCCGAAUGAUUGUCACCAACUCCAGCAAGGAAACUCAUCCUUUUGGUACGAGAACUGGUUGGAAACUGGGGUCCUUUGUUCAUAAGUGCCUUUUGUGCACAUAAGUGACACAGCGUUGGCAGUUCGCGAUGUGUGAAAGACAAUGGCUGGAAGUUUGACUGUUUGUACACGGUGCUUCCAUCAGAGCUGAAGAAUAGGGUUCAAUCAACUGUAGGGCCAACGGGCGUGGAGCAUGUAGAUGCUUGGCGUUGGAAUGAGGAGCCUGAUGGUCAUUACACGUCCAGAUCCGCCUAUGCUUGGCUCAACCAUCGGGACAAUGAGGAGGGUGAACACCAGGUUUGGAUGCAACUGUUGAAAUUGAGGAUUCCGGGAAAAUGCAAAUUUAUGAUUUGGCUUGCGCUGCACCAAUCUUUGCCUGUGAAUGUGCACUGGCAUGCUUGCUCUCUUGCCACCAGCGCUGCGUGUGGUAGAUGCUCUACCCCAACGGAGGACAUUCUUCACUGUCUUCGUGAUUGUCCACACUCGAUGGAAGUUUGGACCAGGUUAGGCUAUGGAACCUUUGUGGGCUUCUUCUCACAAGACUCUUGGUCAUGGAUCCUGGCUAUUUUACGACAAGAAGAUACAGGGCGAAUUUUGUAUAUUUGAUGGUGGAUAUGGCGUUGGAGGAACAAUAUGGUGCUAGGGACAGAGAGAUGGGAAAUUGAAUAGGUGAUUUGCAAUGUGUGGCAGGACUCGAAAGACUCUAUGCUUGACACUGUCGUGGUGCACCAGUUCAGCACAAACAAAUCUUCUUGGGAGGCUCCUGAAAUAGGUUAGGUGAAGGUAAACGUUGAUGGUAGCCACCAUCGAGCAUCCUCUGGAAUAGCCUGCGGUGGUUUGAUUCAGGAUCACCAUGGAAAAUGGCUUCAAGGUUUUUCUGGUUUUGAAGGCCAGGGGGACGUGUACAUGGCAGAGCUUCUCGGAGUUCUCAGAGGCCUUCAGCUAGCGUGGCAUCAUGGUUACAGGAAGGUAGUUUGUGAAUCAGAUUCUUUGAGUGUGGUGCAAACCUUGUCGACAGGCAAAUCAGUAAACCUCCAUUCUUGUGCGGUGCUCUUGACAGAAAUUCAUUGUAUGCUUCUGGAGGAUUGGGAGGUGAUUUUCAAGCAUGUCUUGCGGGAUAAAAACAACGAAGCUGACACUCUAGAAAAGCUUGGCUUAGAGAAGAAGUGGAGGCUCACAACCUGGAAUUCCCCUCCCACUGAGCAUGUUCAGUUGGGAGGUCUAGUCUAAUUGUUUUUUCUUUUGUCUUUAUUUUCAUAAUCUACAAAAAAAAAAAACAUCAUAAUGUGAAUAUUUCCGCUCCUAUGAAUAAUGGAGUAUUAAUGGCACAAGUAACUUACUCGAAUUUUUGUAAUUUAGUUACUCUAAUAUGAAUGAUACAAAUGGUGGAUUUAUUUAUUUCCACUCUUCCCGCUUACCUCUAUAUCACUUUUGGUUCUUGCUUAAUGUUUCCACCGUUUCUACGGUAAACCUUUUAUGGAUUUAACAUUUGCUUUAUUGGUUAAUUUGUCCUUUUAAUGCAUUGAACAUUGGCUUUAUGGUUUGUAUCUGAAAGACUGAAACACAUUGAAAACCAAAAGGUUCCUUCUUUUGAAAUGGUUGCAUCUUUUAUAAAAGGAUAUCCAUGUUGAGUCGGAGAAGAUUUUGGAUUUUUCCAAUUAAGCAAGAUUUCAACAUGUAUAAAUUCUGAGUGUACAAUAUCUUGUAUGUGGCUAUGUUAUUGGAGAACAAACCUAACAUUAGAUUGCACUGGAGGUUUACCAUACUUUUACUUUCAAAAUAGUGAUUCGUCCACGGCGCAACUUUCCUCUUAUCUUCCAACAGAUGACACAUGUAAGAAUUGAAAUAGAACGCAAUUGUUUUUUCAAUCAAUUUUUUUUAUUGUUAUAGUUUUAAUAGAGCACAUGAAUAAAUUUAAAAUUUGACGAUUUAAUAAUAUCUAAUUAAUAUAUGUAAAUUCUGUGGCAUAGGUUAAUUUACUAGUUUUUAAAUAUAAGAAAGUAAUACACAAUUACAAGUGGCAUAGAUUUAAGAAAGUUCCAAUACCAUUUGAGGAGUUAAAUAAUUACGUUGAUGAAAAAAACAUAUACAAACUUAUUGUAGAUGGAUGGUUAGGCACUUGAUAAUCUCCUCUGGUUAGUUUUGUUCAAAAUAUAAGCAUUCUAACAAUAGCCAACGGGAAUGAGUUUCACAAGGAAAACGGGAAGAUGUAAGAGGAAGUACGCAUUCCAAGGAGCACCAGGAAAGGGAAGUGAGAGAUGAUAGCGGAGAGUUUGAGUGGUCAAGAGAUAGCAAUCCAAAUAUAUAUAAUAUGGUAAGAGGAUACGGAUGGUGUAAUGCUCUCUUCACACUAUAAAAUAGCAAAACGUCAUUGCUAGAAACAAAAGUACAAAUUUAAGGAGAAAAAGAAGAAGAUUAAGGAAAUGGACAUGGUACAAUUUUUGCUUUUGCUAUGCCUCUUAGUGGGGAUAACCUCAACGGUGCAUGGUGAAGACCCUUACUUCUAUUUCACAUGGAAAGUCACAUAUGGCACACUUUCCCCGGCGGGUGUCCCUCAACAGGUUAUUCUUAUCAAUGGUGAAUUUCCUGGACCCAACAUCAACUCGACCAGUAAUAACAACCUUGUUGUAAACGUCUUCAACCAACUUGAUGAGCCUCUCCUUUUCACAUGGUCUAGUACUUUCUCUAUUUUAUUAUGAACAAUUAAGAUUAAGAGUACCAAAACGGAAAAAUAUCACAUAAGCAUAUGAAUAACUUUGCUUUGCAGGGCGGGAGUCCAACAAAGGAAAAACUCAUGGCAAGAUGGGGUACCUGGAACUAACUGUCCCAUUGCUCCAGGAACAAACUGGACCUACAAGUUCCAGGUGAAGGACCAAAUAGGAAGCUACUUCUACUACCCAAGCUUGGGCUUGCAUAGGGCAGCUGGUGGAUUCGGUGGCCUACGCAUAAACAGUAGGUUACUUAUCCCUGUCCCCUAUGCAGAUCCUGAAGACGAUUACACUGUCCUCGUUGGCGACUGGUACACCAAGAGCCACUCUGCUCUCAAGAAAUUACUUGACAGCGGUCGCGCUCUUGGCAGGCCCCAAGCUGUUCUCAUCAACGGCCAAAAUGCCAAAGGAGACGGAACCGACAAGCCACUAUUCACAAUGAAGCCAGGAAAAACCUACAAAUAUAGAAUCUGCAAUGUGGGUCUGAAAAACUCCAUCAACUUCAGGGUCCAGCAACACUCCAUGUUACUCGUUGAAUUGGAAGGUUCCCACACCGUGCAAAACAGUUACGACUCACUUGACGUCCACGUCGGGCAGUGCUUUGGUGUCCUCAUAACUGCUGAUAAGGAACCGAAGGACUACUACAUGGUUGCCUCGACCAGGUUCACGAAAACUGUUUUGACCGGCAAAGGGAUCAUCCGCUAUACCAAUGGAAAGGGACCAGCUUCACCUGAACUCCCUGAGGCCCCUGUGGGCUGGGCCUGGUCUCUGAACCAGUACCGUUCCUUCCGUUGGAACCUCACUGCCAGCGCUGCCAGGCCUAACCCCCAGGGCUCUUACCAUUACGGCCAGAUAAACAUCACCCGCACUGUUAAGCUAAUUAACUCUGUCAGCAGGGACAAUGGGAAGCUCCGUUACGCGCUUAACGGAGUCUCCCACGUUGACCCAGAAACACCCAUCAAGCUCGCUGAGUAUUAUGGGAUUGGUGAGAAAUUUUUCAAGUACGACACCAUUCCAGAUAGCCCGCAAGGCCUUUCAAAUGCUGUCACCUUGCAAACCAAUGUUCUUAACUUCACCCAUCGCACCUUCAUCGAGAUCAUCUUCGAGAACCACGAAAAAAGUGUCCAGUCGUAUAAUUUGGCCGGCUACUCAUUCUUCUAUGUCGCGUGAGUAUUCGUAUUCUAUUCAUUCAUAUAUUUAUAUAUUCUUAUCUUUCUAUUUAUUAUAUAUGUUCACUCAACAUGCAGGGUAGAGCCUGGGACUUGGACCCCAGAGAAAAGGAAAACCUAUAACCUUCUUGAUGCAGUGAGCAGACACACCGUUCAAGUGUUCCCGAAAUCUUGGGCUGCAAUAAUGUUGACGUUUGACAAUGUUGGAGUGUGGAACUUGAGGUCUGAGAUUGCAGAGAAUCGCUACUUGGGCCAACAACUGUAUAUUAGUGUGAUGACUCCUGAGCGUUCUCUAAGGGACGAGUACAAUAUCCCAGAAAAUGCAUUGAUUUGUGGCCAAAUCAAGGGUCUGCCUAAGCCAGCACCUUAUGCUUAAUCAAAACCCUUAUGUAAUAACUAGAUUUUUGUUAUGUUCUAUUUGUCUAGCUUUAGCCCCGUGGGACUCCUCAAAUGAGGAGUGGCAAACCUUUUAGUUCUGAGCUAGGUUAUUUAUACAGGGAAAUUAAAUUGGAGAAUAACACAGGGCAUUGAAGCAUUAGAGUUGUUGAUUAGUAUGGUUUGACACUAUCAGAAACGCCAUUGCAUUUUUGUACUUUCACAAUUCUUUAUUAGUAUUCUUAAAAUUUUAGCAAAUAAAAAUGCACUGCCUGCAUUUUCAAAAGUAUUACUUACUUAGUUCCCAAAUUUUUGCAUACAUGUCUGCAUUUUAUACUAGUGCCAGAGCCCAUGUGUUUCACAGUGAAAUUUCUUAAAAGAUUAACAAUAUAGUUAUAAAAUAUAAGAUAUUAUGGUAAGAUUUUGAACUGGUAACAUAGAUCAAAUAAUCAUCUGCAUUCUGUUUAAGAAACAUUUAAGCAAUCAUAUCUAAUUUUAAAAUAUAUAACAACCUGAUACAAACAAUGAAAUAUUUCCAUACAAUUAUAUAUAUAUAUAUAUAUAUAUAAACUACUUAAAAGUUUAUAAAUUAUGAAAAAGCACUUAAAAUAUAUUAAAAUUAAAAUUUCUAAUAGUUUUAAUAUGAAAGUAUUUUCAUGUAAAUUAAACAUGAAAAUACUUACAUAAAUACCUUCUAUUAAUUUAUGAUAAUAUUUGUUCGCUUUGAUGCAUAUUUAUUCAAAUAGUUAUUUUGAAUUUUUUUUAUUCAAAUAUAUUUUUAUAAUUAGGCACUUUCAUGUAAUAAAUAUAUAAUCAUAUAAGCAUGUAAAUAUGUAAGUACAAAUAAAAUUAUAUAUAGUUUCAAAUGUUCGGUUUGGAUUGCAUUAGAUUGGUUCGGUUUUAGAAAUCAAAUCUGAAAUCCGAUCUGAUCCAAUGAAAAUAUUCGGUUCGGUUUGAUUGAAUUUCAAAUUUUUUAGAUCGAUUUUUCAAUUUUGUUUGGAUUGGAUCAAUUAUGAACACCUCUACUCAUAGAAAUUGAAUUAAGAACACUAUUAUUACUCAAAACAUGAGAUUAAGAUAUUAGAAAUCUAACAUUUGAACUUUACAUGAUGAAUGUGUUGCUUUUGAGUUGUUUAUCAAUUGAUAUCGAAUAUAAAAUUGUUGGCAGAAAAUGCCAUGUGAAGAGGACUCGGAUUUGUAGAAGGAAAAAGAUAAAGAGCACGACUACAUGUGGCACGAGAGGCGACGAAGUGAUUUCCACCGUAUGAUUAACUGAUUCCCACUACACAUAGAUUUAAUUUUUUCAAUCGGUGAUUGUAAAAUUGAAAAAUGCACUGGUCGUGACACAGGUGUGCUAUUGGUUGUCGUGCCAAAUAGCUACGCUCUUUGUAGAAAGAUGUUUUCCUUCUGUUUGACUGGUUUCUAACUUCGUGUUAUUCACGUUGCGUGACGGAGCUAGCGGGAUCGGUGACUAUUCAUAAUGGAAAGAGAAGGAAAUUUCAAGUAUUAGGGGUAUUCAUGUCAAAAAAAAGAUUUAUAAACAACAAACUCCAAGUUAAUUUUUAUAAAAUUGACCAAAAAGUGCAACUCUAAUUUGACUCUUAUAAUAAGGAACAAAGGGUGUAUUUUUACUUUUAUGGUUUGUUAAAAUUAAAAUGAUAUAUCUGAAAUUUUGAGAUAGGAUAACUUGAUUAGAGAAUAAAAGAACAGUGUUUCAUGAGCACUUAAUCAGUCAUUAUCAAGAAAUUGUAUCACUCAAGGUUGACAAACAAGUCUGGGAGGCCAAGAAAAAACUACAAUUUUCAUUUCCAUUUAACUAGAUCAAUUAAAAGAAUCAACUAAAAUUAGAUUUCCUACAAAUCCUGACACUCCCUGCGGACGCUUGAUUUGCUGCUCUAUUACUUCCAAAAUUCUUUUUAUUUGACUCCCUGGCGAUUCUUGAACCAAACUACACCAUAUAAAGACAAUCAAUUAUUUAGUACAGAAAAAAAAAAGGUAAUCAAUUUACACAGAACAGUGAUAAUUAGACAAGCUAAAUAAACAUAAGCCCACUUUAUAAAAACAAAUUAUUGCCCAUUGCUUUCCUGUGCCGUUUUGCAUCCUCUUGGUACUAAUUCCUUAUAAAAAUGUAACUCGGUCUUCACUAUAUUCGUAAGUCCAAUAUUCUGUUCAAUAUCCAGCACUGUCGAAGUUCUAUUGACAUCCUAAAAAAUGUUAAUAAUACCCAUAUGAAAUUCAUGCAAUAUUAGCGUCAAUAUUAAUAAUGAUCGGGCUCUGAUAUCACUUGUUGGAGAAAUCAGAGGAGCAUUGGCCAAAGGAGCAAAACGCCAGGAGAAUUGGAAGGGUGACAAAGUAGAGGAAACCAAAAACUGGAGGUGAUACAGGUUUUCUGAAAGAAAAAGUCCACAGAUAAACAUAGUGAUGGGGAACGUUGUUGGAAUGAAGCAGACAGAUAAAGAGGCCAGAGCGCGGAACAAAACACGGUUUGCCAGAUGAAAUUCCACCAUUGGAGACUGGGUCCAGUGAAGAUGCACGAUAAUGGAGUCCCGUGCAAGCUCAAUUGCAUUUUAUGAACUUGGGGGUCUCAACUCUCAACUACACACUCGAGGGUUAUGUAAUAGAUAUCAAAAACCGGAAACCAAGGAUCAACUUACAAAAGAUUAUACUUAUCUUAUUUACAUUACUUUCAACACACCCCUUAGAAAGCAGAUACUAUUCCCGGAACUGCUUUGCAUAGCUUCAGAACCCCAUUUUUAAAUAUACAUGAAGAAAAUUUUAGAAGUUCAGGAAAUGCACACCUGGAUUGCUCGUUUUGGCAGAACUGCUGCUUCAUAUAAUCCAAGCAAUUCUGCAACCUUCAAUAUGAGAUUGAAGUUUAAGAAUCCAUUUUCUUGUUUUGGUCUUCAGAUAGAAAAGAGUUUAAUUUGGUAAAACAGAAGAAGUGAAUAUAUAACAAAUAGCUUUCUCAGAUAGAACUUCGAACUCACAUGGUUAUUUAUCACUUAUCAACAAUAAGCAAAAAUCUGUACAAUAUCAGCCAGAUAGAUAUCAAUGUACCUAUGGGGAAAUGUGUGUAUGACUACUUAUGACCUGCAAGAGGUUAAGGUUUCAGUGUGUGCAUGAUUUCUUUUUUUUUGUUGGGAUACCAUCCACAGCCAUUAAGUUUUCUUAAUGGAAACUGGUUUCCAGCAUAAUCAAGGGAAAAUAAAUAUCCUUCCAGAUCUAUUCAGAACUGAAGCUUUUAAUACUAACUUCUAUUUCAUCCUCCCUCUCUAUGGAUCCAGUUCGGGCAUUACACUAGUUCCAUUUUCAAGUCCUUAUCAUUCAUAAUUCAAAUGAUUUUGCUGUGUUGAACCAAACACUCAGAUCUCUAGUUUGAUUAAGCUGAUAAAUGGUCUGACAAGCUGUAAUUUGUGCUUCAGUAACUUUGUAACCAAUGAAAACAAGGAGAGUAAAGAAAGGCCUCAAGUCUUCAAAGAAACAGCGAUACCUCUCUUAAAAUCUUUUUAUCACCGAUGCCACUAGGUUGAUCAAGUUGGGCAACCUCCCACAAUGGAAUGUUGAGCAAAACCCUUAUAACAUCCUCAUCCAAGAAGGGAAAUCUAGCCUAAAAUAAAGAAUAAUAAUAAUAAAUAAGUACCUGGAAGAUUAACAAAUUUGAAAUAAAUAUUGAUUUUUUCUAUAAUUUGAAGAUUACCUCCUUUCCAUUAUCAGCAAUACAUCUAUCAUCUCUCCCUAAAUUUCUUUUCCAGAUUCUUUGCAUGUCGAGUUUCAUUUCCUCAUCUAGCCCCAACCAACUGAUCAAGGCAUAUUAUACCCAUUAGAAUCCAUUAAAAGAUAAUGCAUGCACAUUCUACGGUUCUCAAAUCAGUAUUAAUAAAUUAACAAUCAGAUAAGCUAGAAGUGUAUUGAACUACCACAUAAAAGUACAAGAUGAGCUCUCAAAUUAUUAAUCAAGAACUUUUAGCUAGGUACUAGCGUAUUGGCCUGCAUGAUAGUUCUUGGAACACAAUUAUCCCAUGUCUUGGGCUCAAUUCUAGCAAGCAGUGAAGAGCUUUUAAUAGGUAAUAUAUUUUCGAGAAAACCCUAUUUUUCUCUUUCGAAGAUAUAAGUAUCACUUUGGUCCUUCGAUUAUUUUUCUCAUCAAUUUAGUCCCUUAAUAUUGUAGUCAUCAAGUUAGUACCUGAACUAGGACUUCAAUACAAUCAUUCCUCUUAAUCCAAGAAAGACAAUUGAGUUGUGAAUAAUCAAGAAAUUAAAUUGGUGACAAAAAAAUUCUAGGUUUAAAUGACGAUGCGUGUAUCUUUUAAGGAGAACAUUAGAGGUUUAAUCAACAUUUUCUAAAACCCAGUAAGCUGAAUAACACUCUAGACCUGAGGGAAAUUGAUAGAACUGGUACCUUGGAACACAAAGAAAUAGAUGGAAAAUCCAGAAGAAACACCAGAAUCAAAGUGAUUCUGGAAUCAAAGUGAUUCUGGAAGAGAUUGCAUUUUUAAUGAGAAUUGUCUUUGUACAACUGAACUGAAACGCUUCUGAGAAAGAAGAGAAACCUUGGUCACCAAGAGACCAAAUCUGGUUACCUCUAACCAGCCCUAGAAUCUUCCUUUCCCAAAAACCGACUCUCACUGACAGCUAAGGCUCUUUAUAUCUAAAGCUAACUGUAACUAACCCUAACAAACCAGGUUAGUUAGUCAUGAUUCUGUUACAAACAAUAACCUGACCUAGUCAGAUUUUCUAACUCUCGUCCUCACAUACAUGUUCUUAAUAACUGGCUUAAGUGAAGACUUAUCAGAGAUUAUCAAAGCAGUACAGUGCACAGUAUAUGGCUCAUAUCAUGGUUUUCAUGUCUUGCGUCAUGUUUCUUUCCCGUGGUAAGGUACACUAGCAUUUAAUUUAAAACUUAUUUGGCCGCAAUUAAAGAAAAGAUAAAUUAAACUACAACCACACUAUGCAUAGAACUCAAAAAUUGUAAGAUCUAAGCGAAUAUAAACAGGGGGAAAAGUAGGUAUAUAGCUAAAACAUGAUUUACAAUCAUCACAGUAAUACCUUCCCCAUCUGUAACUAGUUCUAUGCCUCCCAUAUCCAGCACACUGUUCAUCAGCACCAGAACCAACAAGGAGAAUCCUUGCACUAGACUUGUACUUAAUCCGUGCAUGAUUGGUAUCUUUAUCAUUUGUAUUUACAGAAGACACCCAUCCAUCACCACCAGAAGCAAGCCAUAAAGCAAUUCCAAUAUUAAGAUCCUGAGAAGAUAUGUGCAUAAAAUUAGAAACAGUAAAGGUAUUUGGAAACUAAGCUACAGGAUUUCAGACUGAAAUUUCCAUUCCAUCCAUGUGGAGCAUUAAACUGAAUAUGAAGUUAAGUUAAAACGAGGGUUACUGAUGCAGAAGCUGAAUGAGUGAUAACUCUCUACAUGACAAUGUGCUGAAAUCAAUAUCCAGUAUUCAAAUUGUAUAUGAAUGUUUUCAACUUGGUUUUUGUACUGAAUUUGCAUUUUAGUUUGUCUCUGGUCUCCAUAAGAUAAUUUACUAAAUAACAGUUAAUCAAUUUUAACAGGCCAUAUAACAUGAGGCCCCCCACAUUGCAAACACAUUUUUUUAUCUUUCUUGGAGCUAAAAUAUAUGGUAGUUUUGAAUUGAAUUCAUUGUUCAAGUUAAUACAUUAUAGAAAAUUUUACUAAAAUUUUGCCAAUUUAAUAGUAUACAAAAUAUCUUAUUGUAUUCUAUUUUAUUUAUUUUCUCAAACUACUAGUAGAAGUUUUUAAAAAAUUUAACGAGCCAAGUUUAUUAUCAUUAUAUUUUUAUAUUAUAAAUAUUUUAACACCAUACAAUGAAAAUAACCAAUAAUUCCAAUUAAAUAUUCUUAAGAAUGAAGUUAGGCUAAAUUUGAAAGAAUGAGUUUAUAUUAUAAACGCAUGACAGUCUUAGGAUAGAAUAUUUCAUUAUUUCCUUUUUAUUCAUAUGUAAAUACUAAAUAUCACCAGGACAUAUUGUGUAAUUAUUAGGACAAAUCAUUAUUUCCUUAUUUAAAUAUAAUUUAUUCGUAAAAAUUUAUAACAUAAUAUAACUAUCUAUUUUUACAAUAUUAAAAAUAAAUGAUUAUUACUAUAAUUGUGGACAUAUAAUUAUUUAUAUAUCACAUUAUGUUUUCAACCAUAGUUAAAAUGAUAAAAGCUAACUGAACCUUAGAUCACUCUCGUUUAGGAUUCUCCGCGGGAUGUUCAGUGCUAAAGUAGAGAAUGUUAUUGAACACACCCUAAUUCAACACCUGAUGAAAGUAUAGACAUGUUCAGAAUCUUAAGGAACCUGCUUUACCUCUAAUUUCACCUUUCUAGUUUUCAAAACAAUUACAACAUAGAACAUACAAUACCUUACAAGCAGGGAAAUCUAAAAUUAACAAUUUAACAUUUACAAAUGAGACAGAGAAAGGACCAUGCCUGAGCAAACUGUAUAUGCCUUUCUGACAGUCUGACAUUUGUACGGGUUAGUUAUUCAACUUAACUUGAUCAGAAAUUUUCUUAUAUACGACAGAAGUAAAAGUGUAAUUUGCGGAUCCAGAGGAUUAAUUAAUACCAUGUAGGUGCUGGCAGGAUUUAUGAGGGACAUAACAUGAGUAGUUUCAAACACCAAGUCUGAUAGGUCAGCAUCAAUCUCUACAAGUCUCCACCUGUGUAAAUUUGCAUAAAAGGCUAAAAUUUAUACAGACCACAAUAAAAUGUUAAAAUUUAAAUAAAAAAUUUAUCUAUUCAACGAAAAACAAUUUUUAUUUUGCUACCAAGCCACAAGAAAAAUAUUAAAUUAAACAUGGAUAGCAUACCUUCUGGAAGGUGCAACUCUUUUUAGUUCUUUCAACCCUGCCUUGGCAGAUUUUCUAUCAGGAGCUGAUUCACCAUCAAAACUUACAUUAAGUAGAUCAAUUUCAUCUGUCAUUUCAAAAAUGGUUAGACAAUAAGCUUAGCAGAAGGUUCCUAGAAUAAAGAGUAAUGAUAUAUACACACCUCCUUAUUUAUACACUUCAUUUCCACCUAUUUUUAUUUCUAUCUCUCUCCUCUUAUCAUCUAUCACAUCUUAUACUUUCUCUUUCUUACUUUUUCUUUUCUUCCUAUCUCUCUCCUUCUCCACCUCUUUCCACCUCAAUUUAGAGGUGUGGACAAAAAACAUGUCAAUUAACAAACUCAACUAGGCCUCUACUGCAUCUAUUUCAACACCAAUCAAGAACUUUUUUAUAUAUAAAACCCUUCAUGUCCUUUAAUCUAACAGCUAAGUAAACAUGUCAUCUCGAGUUUAAUCCUUCUUGCCCAUAUUCUUAUAGAUAAAAAAUCUUAAACUUUGGGUUAGGCCUAACUCUACUCCAAAAGCUAGCUCAGGGGUGAGGAUUGCUCUACACUUUAUAAGGACGUAUUUAGUCAUAUCUCUAGUAAAUGUGGGACCUCACAAAAAAAGUUAAAUUUCAGCAUAAGGUAGGAUGAGCAUGUGCAUUGUUCAUGCUUCAAGUCCAAAAGAACUCCUGUGAGGGUAUGUGCUAGAUAUAAAAUUAUCCAUGUGCUUUAGUUUAACUACUUAAGCUUUUGAGUAAGUUGGUUCAAGACAACAAAUUAAAUUGUAUAAUAUAAUCAGCAUAUAAGCACGUAAGUUAAGCUGAUCUAGGAGCACUCACAACUGGGAUCCAGACAUUGAUCCAAUAAUGCUGCAAGUAUCAUAGAAUCCAGCCCACCAGAGAAAAGAACUGCCACGGGGACAAAUUUCUCUUGUCUGACACCAGAUAUCACUUCCUAUAAAAUCAAAUUCGAAAUAAAAAACCAGAGUUCUAUCAUGAGUGACAAAUAUAAAUAAUAUUAACAGAAAGAAAACAAAGACAAGUUAAGAAAUAAUUAUAAUACAAGUUCAUCUGUGGUAAUGGCAUCAAAGAAUAAAGCUAUUUGGCUAUAACAGAAUUACAAUUAGGAAUCCAGAUUCAAUACUUGGAGUAGAUUUCAGCAAUGAGAAUUUUCAAAAAUACCAAUAACAAGACGUUGGUGGAGACAUGGAGUAGUUCCAAUGUGCAUCAGGGAAACACCUGAGAGUAAUGAUAAUUUGUGGAAGAUUUGCAAUGUCAGGGUGACCAUCCUUGAAUAAGCAUCAUCUCUACUACUAAUGAAGAAAAGAAUUCAAUAUGUUUUUUAUGCCAUUCUCACUUAUCAGUUUAGUUUUGGUUCCUUAUUGUUAUAAAGUUGACACUUUUAGUCCCUGUCAUCAAAUGAAUUCGAUUUAGCAAUGAUGUCGCAAACAGAAUUCUACAUCAUCAUUGCCAUGCCGUAGUAAAUUGCAGAUGUGUCACAAUAUUAUUAUUUACGAUUUAUAAUACGUUUUUUUAUUCAAUUUUAAUGAAAAUAGCCCACAUGGAGAGUUGACCAGAUUGUAGAGUCUAAUACUUAGGGAUGGAGAAAAACCCAGUAAAACUAUAGGCCAAGUUAUUAAGAAGGAUUUAGAGGUAAACAAUCUAUCUGGUAACUCACAUAACAGAGUAGUGUGGUGUGGAAUGAUUCAUGUAAUCGGCCCACCUAGUGGGAAAAGGCUUUAGAGGAUGAAGAUGAUGGUGAUGACUGAUGACCCACAUGAGAGUCACAUGUCUCAUACCCCAAAAUAAUAUUUGAGGGUUUGAUUUGCACAGAACACUGCAAGGGCGAGAGAAGGCAAAGGUGAGGAAGAAGGGUAGCGAAAGAGAAUUGGGUGAGGAAGAGGGCAGAGGCAAAGGUGAAGAUCAUAAUUUUGGGAAGUGGAAUGAGAGAACUGCAGGAGUCUGCAAAGAAAUGAAGGUAGAAAGGAGGAGAAAGCAUCUUAUCAACAACAUACAAACUAAAAUAAUUCAAGAACACAUAAUGCUGUGUUAGACAAACAUUAAAGAAAGGUGCACAUCUCAGCAGCAACAUACAAAUAUAAAACUUUUUCUCCAGCUUUAAUUAAGUUGCAUACCUGAUAAAAAGUAUAUAAUGAAGUACGCCGUGAUACAGAUUCCUUUAAAACAUUUAGCAACGUAUGAACUUGCAUUGGAAUUGCAGGUUGUGCCCCACCUGCUUAAACAAGACAAAGAUCUGUCAUGACCAUCUAAGACUUAAAAGAUACAAUAGAAUAGCCAAAUAAUUCUAAAGGAACUAGAAUGUAUGGGAAUAGCUAUUUAAGUACUUGUCAUGAGCCAAUUAUCACAAAAGCAUAAGCUGAUGGGUAAAAAGGUUCAUGAAUGAUUUUAUAUUAUAUUGCUAACAGGCCCCCUCACGCAAGAGCUCAUUGGGCUUGAAGCGUGGACAAUGAUGCACAGGCUCACCUGUCUUGUGCUGAAAUUCAACUUUUUUUAUUAGAAUAAUUAGAGGCAACAAGGAUCGGGCUCUAGAGCACUUGGUUUUAGUGGCUGUAAUACUAUGUCAUGAAUCAAUUAUCCCAAAAUCUUAAGCUGUUGGAUCAAAGGAGAAAUGAAUGAUUUCAUAUUAUAUCUAGAAGUACUAAAUAAAUAACUAAAUUAAGCACUAUGAAGCUGUUAUAUGGUACUCACCAGCACAUGGAACUGCCUCUAAAGAAGCUGAAUCAUCUUGCCUCCUAGAUGUCUCCAGAUCUUCAGAGCGUGGUUCAACGGAAAUUCUCUCCCACUUGAUAAGUUCAUUUAACAUUGAGUUUGUAUACUCAUGCAUCUUGACGUCACCAACCAGAUAUCCAUUUAAAUUUGAAGUACCCACAUGCAUACUGUAUAUUCCACACGGUAGUUCUUCCCAGUAACUAAGAGAUCCUAUUUCAUUAUGAGCUUCAUACUCUGCAGCGAAUUAAUAUUAAUAACUCCAAAUAUUGCAAAGUUUAUUUUACAAAUUCAAGAAUAAAUUGCAGUAGCGGAUGGAACAGUGACUUUUAAUAGUAUUGUGGGAACUUCGACAAGCUAAAUUGGAGGUUUUUUGUGGAAUACAGAGGGUCAGCCAGAAGAGGAAAGAUCAAGCUCAUUCAUUACAGUGGUUUUUAAAGAAUUGGAGGGACUGCAACCACACAGAAAUGUAGCCCCUUUAAUUAAUCCACAGCCAGCAGCUGGACCAGUGAGUGUUCGUCCCUACCCCCAUCAUCACGAAAUUGAGAUAGAAAAACAGUGCAGUCAAGGCUUCAACAAGGUAUCAUCACAAAAUAAAAUUUCUAUUUCCUUCAAUCCUUAUCAGGUUCUAUUCAUGCCAUUCUAGUUCACAGAAACUGAACCGUAAGAGCAAGUUAAAAGGCUGUUAUUCAAUUCCAUGUAUUACAUACCAGAAGCCUGCUGAGCUUGAGAAACAGGUGAUACAGAAGAAAGCAGAAAGGUUGAGUCAUCUUCUGUUGGCCAGUGAACAAGGAGACUCCGCCUACCAAAUGCAUCUCGGCCAAACCAAAGGGUACUUGAACUAUCCUACAAAAGAAGAAGAAAGUACCACCCAUUGACACGAUAUGGACAGAAAAGACACCGUAAUGAAUUCAGACACACAGAAACUUACCACUCAGUGUUACCUGCCAAUAGAUGAUAGCCCACGGUCCUUUAAUUGUAGAAAGAACAUCUGGAAUCGAACUUUUGCCACAUGUAACACAGUGACCAGUCAAACAAGAACCACAGGAGCAACACUUCUCGAGAGUCUGAAUGAGAAACUCAGCGUCAUUGCAAUCACUAGCAAGGUGAAAGCCUCCAAAAAUUUCACCUGAAAGAGCACAACACAAAACCUAAAACAACUUGUUGGGAGGAAAAAAAAUACUGCAAAUCAUAUAGACAAAUAGCUCACAUGGUUGAGCUAAGGGUAAUUGUAGGUGUAGGGCCAGGGUUCAAACCCUGAGGAGGAAUAACUUGUACUAAUUUACUAACAACUAACAUUUGUCUAUCCAAAAAAAAUAUAUAGACAAAUAGAUAGACACGAAAACAUUAACCUAUUCCUAAUGCACACAAUUGUUGAGAAUGUACACUAGCUUUAACAUAACAAGAACAACAAGCAUUCUACAGCAGUAUAUUCAAUCCAAAAUCUAAAAUCGGAGGCGGCAUGAACACAGAACAAUACCAUUGUACACCAGAACAUUUCGAGACACGUCGAACAAGGGCUGGACAAGCGGAAUAGUUCCCCUGAGCUGCAGAAUGGCACCAAUGAAAUGAAGUUCCGCGCGAUUGUUAUCUUCGCGUUCGGAACACAAUGUAUCAUCAUCAUCUUCUUCUAUGAAGGAGGAGAGUUUUUCCCCUGAGGAUUGCAGAAGAACCUUCUUGGUACGCAAGCUAUCGGGGCCUCUUCUCCUGAGUGCUGCUUUCAGGUCUUCUAAAGAGAACACCAACUGUAGCAAAAGAUAAAAAGGUUCAUGAAGUAGCUAGGAGUGGAGUUGUGUUGUGUUGUGUUGUGUUGUGUUGUGUGGUUAGAGUUAGUUAUGGGCAUUUUUGAAGUGUUGCGCGAGCUUACUUUCUCAGUUUGACGAGUUGGGCAUGCUGAGUUGAGUUGCAAAGAUGAGAUGUUGAUUUGAAUGCCUGAGACAAUCAACGCAAUUCCACACAUCUUCCUCUCCGAUUCAACAGUCGUCGUGGGAGCAGGCGAGUAGCAAUGGGGUUUGCAUAGGGUUUUGAUUUCGUACACUUGUGUCUGUUUUGCUUAAUUGCUUUAAUAUAAUUUAUAAUUUAAAAUUAAAAACUUUUAUACUUCGAACCAAGUUUGGAGAUAGCAAAUGACUCACGUGGAGAUCUUAAUUAUUAAUAAUAAGAACUAGUUCUUGUAUUAACAAUUUUGUUUUAUGAGUUCUUAGCAUAAAAUAACAUUUUAUGUCUAUAUUAUUACUUUAUGAGUUUUAUUUUAUUAAAAAGUAUAAAUAAUGUGGUAUUGUUAGACCAUAUGAAUAGUGCUAAGAAAUAAGAACUAAGAACUUGUGGUUGGAGCGAAAUCGACAAAAGUUGUUUGAGAGUUGCUUAGCCACAUAUGGCAGUACGGGCCCACAUGAAUAAUGUUUAAGAACUCACAUAUAAGAACUAGCAUUAGAGAUGCUCUCAAAGAGUUGAGCCUUCACUCUUGGGAAGUGAGGUACUCAACGUCCACACUCUCCUUCACAAAAUUACACGUCAUCUUUUAUCUAAUUUCCUCAUUCUUUCUCUUUGGUUCUUUGAGCGUUGUCACCACGCGUUCACAUUUCUUGGCAAACCCCUGUCAACACACAUUUCAUGUUGUGUUCGCUCACUUGUAAUUCGGCUCCCAAAAUUUCACUAUAAUCUGCUCAAUCGACCUUUGAUCCUCUUGCAAAAGAAAAGCGAAUAGAGGUCAAAGCCCAAAACAUUAGAGUUGACAAACAAUAAAAGGUCAGGGAAACAUCUUCCCCCAUAAACAAAAUGGUCAUACGAAAAAGCAUUACGAGCUAGAAAAUCAGAUGCGCAAUUCUCGUUUCUACGCACAAAAGAAAACUCAACGCAAUCAAAAGAAAAAACUAAAGAACUAUUGUAAUAUCAAGUGUGAGUAAGUCCUACAUAGGAAAAAAAAAUGGAGUGUUGAGCAGUUUAUGAGUGAGAUACUCAUACACCUGAUACCUUAAGGUUUUUGGGUGAAAGAUGUUGUGUCCAACCCAUUUGUGGUAUGCUCAUCAUUAGCACAAUGUGUAUACCCCCCUAGUUUUGCGUAUCACCUUUGGCCCAACAAUGAUAUCGGAGCUAAUGGUUGAUUUGACCAUGGUGGCGGCUCCUUGUGUUGAAAGCCUUCCUAAAAAUGUGAUACUCAGGCGGUGUGUCCUGUUGUAAAGUCCCAACCCAACGGUUGUGCAAAUAUUUAGAGGUUUACGCUUGAGAUGGACUCAUACUUGUUGUGAUGUCAAGUGUGAGUAAGUCCCACAAUAGAAAAAGAGUGUAUUGUUGAGAGCUUUGUAAAUGAGGUGACUCAUACACUUAAUGUUGUAAGGUUUUAGGUGAAAGAUGUGGUGUCAAACUCGCUUGUGGUUUAAUUAUUAAGCCCAAUAAGGAGAUCCCCCGCAGUUUAAAGCAUCUCCUUUGCCACAACAAGAACUGCACAAUUGAAGCCAAAUAAGAGCAACCACGACUUGCUCUCUUUCACACCAGUCUCAAAACACACCAAGAAAAAAUUGGAAUUGUAAGAGACCAUUCUAUAUCAUAAAUAUAUUCAACUCAACUUAUUUAAUGAGUUAUUGGAUAAAGUUAUAACCAAAUGCUUGAAUUGUAAUCUUUGAUUCUCUUUUGGAAUAAGCAGGGGCGGAUCCAGCGCCCGGCGUGCCUGGGCACUUGCCCAGACUCCUUGGCCAAUUUUUUUUUUAUUUGGGCCGUAUGGCCUUUUCAGGAAAAAAAAAGAGCAAGGGCAAAAAAAAAAAACAAAGCCAAACUGCCCUUCCAUAUUUGUCAGCUCAUUGCACAGCGAAUCUUGGCCACAAUGGAUCACUACCGAAGCACUGGAUCUGGAUUCAACCGUAAGUACUAUCUCAAGCCUUGGCACGGGAUAAGCUUAUAUCAGAACCAACUCACCAUCAACCCUCAACCAGAUCGGGAGGAAGAAGAGAGCUCCAAGACACCAUUCAAAUAGGCACAAUCCUUUGCCCUUUACCAUAGGAGCCCUCUACGGGCAUAGGCUAAAGAAAUAGGGGAAGAAGGACACAUUUUAGGGAAAGUAGCCCUCGGGAAAUAGUUUUCUAUUAGAUUUUCUCUACUUUCCUUAGAUUUUAUCUACCUCUAGGGGGCGUUUGUUUCAAGGUUUGAGAUCACAUUCAGGAAUAUGAUUACCGGGUAUGUUUUUUUUAGAAAGCAAAAUAUAUGUAUUCAUAGAUAGAUGAGGAAAUUGACAAGAUUAACAAUCCUCCUCAAAGGGAACAAGAGCUCGCAAAGCCAGAAAGGAGCAAAGAAAGGAAAAACAAAGGAACCCCAAGAACCGGAGAAGAAAAAGCCCCCAAUGCCUAGGAGAAAAACCGCAAAAGCACCCAAAAGCCCACCCGACAAAAAACCAAAAACCCAAACAAUCCGCACUAACCACUAGCAUAACACCCCAAAAAAACCCGCCAGGACUGAGAAAAAACCAGCCAAAAUUCCAAUCCUGCAAGGGAGAAAAACCAAAAGGGGGCGCAACACACCCUCACCAGAAAGCCAAAAACAAGACCCCAUAAGCACCCAUACCAACCCAGCAAACCAGCGCCAACACUAGGGAUCUCCGUAGAGACGAGGAUGAGUAGCAAUGAGGUGGUCAACGAAGCUCUGAAUGGCUUCCUCCUCAGGACCGAUAGGGACGACUCCAACUUGUUUAGCAAUUAGAAAGUCCCUACGAGCUAUUGUCAGAGCACGGGCAGAGCCACAAGCUUCCGGGAGAAUCAGAGAAGACUCCUCUACCACCGGUUGCACGACGACCUCAUCAACCAAAACCCCUUUGACCUUCUGAUUUCCUGCUGCCACGCCUUUCCUUGGUCGACCCCUCCUCCGCCGCUCCGACACAGAACCCACCUCACAACCCGCUGGAACCACACCUGCACCAGCACAAACCGGAGAAGGGAGAGAGCAAAAAUCGUCCAAGAUUACUUCGCCAGCAGAGACAAGAUCACCUAUUCCCAAUUCAGGAAAAAGGGCCUCGCAAGAAACACGCUCCUCCUCACCAGAGGCUGAACCUCCCAAGAACCCUGAGACAAUUGUCUCCGGGAAAAGAAGCAUCGCCGGCCAGCCAGAGCAAGGAGAGUCCCUAGAGAGCUCUGAGAUCAUCCUGAGUUCGUCAACUGAAGGAGCAACAGCACGGCCAACCUUCACCGGCAAUGGCAUAGGAAAGACCUCGGCAGCAAAUGACCUGGCACUCCCCGAUUUUGGAAAUUUUGCCAACGCCACCGAAAGGAUUGAACCCCCCACUAGAACUCCGUUGAGCAAAUUUAUUGCUGAAGAAGCUAGUUCUACCGAUGAAUACCUCACGAAGCCGAAACGGCAGGCCCUCCCAAGCCUCCUCUGCUUCUGAACAAAGACGUUUACCAAGCUUCCGAUGUGACCAAAGAGAGACCGAAUCUGGAAGUAGUCCACGAAAUCAGAGAUCCCAUCGACGAACAGGGUAGUCGUCGAACAAGAGAACCCCUCUUUUCCUCUUUCUCGAUCUGCAACGUCGAACUUACCAAACACUGGCAGAGGCUGAAAUCGUGCGCCGCCGCAAGCCAGGGUUGGGAAGAGGAACCCUAGCCGCAGGAGAGACAAAGGAAAUGUUAUUCCUGGGUAAAUUUUAUAAAUGUGUUUGGUAAGUAUUUUGUAUUCCCGGGAACAUUUUUAAAUUUUCUUAAUUUAAAAAUUAAAAAAACUUAAAAAUAAAGGUAAAAAUGAUAAAUUGUGGGAGAAGUGGGAAGUUACAUUCAUCUUUCCCAUGGGAAUGUAAGAUUCCCAACCUUUUUCAUGGGAAUCAAUAUGAAGGAAAUCAUGAGAAUUGUGGAAGUUAUUUUAUUCCCGGGAAUGAUUGAUACCCAGGAAUCAUAGUUUCCAAUCUUGUAACAAACGCAAGAAUGUUCAUUCCCAACCUUCAUAUUCCCGGGAAUCUCUUUCCAAAUCUUGAAACAAACGCCUCCUUAGCUGUCUAGAUUCUGUGUUUUACUCUCCUGUCAAUGUACCAACCAGCUGGCAAGGUUUUAAUUGUUGUUUACUUGCUACCACUCACAUGGUUGUACCAAGCUCUCAGCCUUUGGGUUAGGCCCAGUUUAAUGGAAUAUAAUCCAUGCUUUUCAGACCAAAAAAUGUAUGAACAAUAUAUACUUUUUGCGAGUAAAUGUAUACACAUAAAAAAAUGUCAAAAAUGUAUUUGACUAAAUUUAUGUUGGUACAUAUAUACUUUUUUUUUCCUUUCUAUAUGGGUGAGUUUUUUUUUUGUAAAUCAGAUUUUUCGGUUUGGUUGAGGGUGAGUUUAGAGCUAUGAGUUGGUCUAAUGUCCUUGUUGAGGCUGGUUAACUAUAAGAAAAAUGACGCUUCACACUCAUUUCACUCACAAUUAUAAGAAAGAUAGGAGUACGAAAUGAGAGAUAUGAUAAAUAGUGUGAUGAAAAUAAAAGACAAAUAUAAAAAGAAAGAUUAAAGUAUAUAGAAUGAGAUGGAAUCAACUAUCUUUAUGAUCUAGUAAACAACUAGCAAAGUAUAAAAGUAAUAUUGAUCAGCCGGGUCAAUCAAUCAAUUAGAAUUUUAGGUUGAGAGAGGUGGAAAGUUUUAUGAGAAGGAAUGUUUAAAUUCUUUUGUAUGGGAUAUAAAUAUUAUAAGUAUAACGAUAUAAGGGAAUUGACAGCAAGCCAUACUCUAACACAUUCUCUUUAUGUUUAUGGCUCCCCCGAUAUACACGCCCUAACAUCACAAUGUUCGCAACCGCAACACCUGUAACCGCGACCGCAAUUUAAAACCCUCGGUCAGACGUGGACAAUUAGACUUAAAUUUGCUCAUGCUCCACUGAAAUCCUGGCUCCGCCUCUGCUCAAGAGUAAGAAGUAAAAAAGAGAACUUCAAAGUCUCAAGAAUAACUUAAGUAAUAAAAUCCCCAAGUUUAGGACACAAUGCGCUCCACUUGUGAUUUAAAUCCUUUAAAGGAAUGACAUCAAGCGCCUAUUUCAUUCAAUGCCUCUUGUUGAUUUAGAACUAUAUUAGAUCAUGGAAAACACAUAUUCAAACACAACACAAGCAGUAAAUUUAAGUGAACACUCAAAUAAAGAGUAAAAAAUCUAAAUCAACAUUAAACAAGAGUCAUUAAAAUAGUAAAAAAAUAUGCCUCAUGUCGAAAUAUAAUCAAAGAUCAAACUAUAAGACUGACUAAGAGUGCAACAACCCAUCAUCAUGGGUAAAUACUUAGAAAAAGAUGAAAACAAUAAAAACAAAAUAGCAACCACAAUUGCCAAAAACUAGAAAUUAGAAUGAUGCAAGUGAAAAAAGGUUUUGACCUAAUUUUUCCUAUUUCUAUUCAUAGUAAAUGACUAAUUCCUAUGUUGGGCUUUGUGCCUUUCUAAUCAUUAACAUACGUUUUUGGGAUCAUUAGAAGUAAAUUGCCUUUGACUGCAUUCAAUAUGAACAUAAAAUGAGUAAGUUAUCAUACAUACGAUAUGGUAGCAUUCAUUAAUGACACUAGACUUGCACCCCACAUUUGACCUCAUCCAAUCCGGAGGUCUACAACUCGAGAUCUUACCUCCAGAAGAAGCACUACUCAAGACCAGAUGAUAUCAGCAAACCAACGUUAGGACCAUCUUCCACUCAACGUUUGGUCACGCUAGAGGUCGAAACAGACCCCAAGUUAAAAAGAAUGUAGUUUUUUCUCUUAGCUUUCCCACCAUAUAUAAAUGACUUUCACAAUUUGAAAAAGUGUAGCUCCAAAUAUAGACCCUCCAAACACUGUAUAAGUCAGUUGUCUGAACUUCAGACGACGUCUGUCAUCAGACCAUGCAUUUAAACUCAGCAAGCACCAAGUCAUCAACAUCUCGAGCGACAAACCCCAUACCUACGAAACCUGUCGAAGCAAGGGAUGCAUGAAAAUCAAAAUUAACCUUAACAAAAUCUUGGAUUGAGCCGAUUUCAAUGGUAAAAUUCCUUCUAUUAUUGCGCCAAGGAAAUGGUCUGAAUCACAUCACAUAAAAUCAGAUUCUCAUAUCAUAUAAAAUGUACGUUUUUAUUAUACCUUAAAUUAAAAAAACUCGUGCGACCUGAUUUGAUUAACAAAGAUUUCUUCAAGCUGGUCCCACUCCCACCUGUUGUCAAAACAAGACACAGAUAAAGAACACAAAGUAAGCCGAUUGAGUUCUGCAAGCAAACUCGAAAACGCUGGGCCUGGUCUCAACUCAACCUAAAAAACCAAACCAAACCGAAAAACCCUUUUUCCCACAACCAAAUAUAAAUAUUGAAAUCUUUUCAUUUUCUCAGGUCUCUCUCUCAAGUGUACUCAACCGCCUCACUCUUCUCUCUCUCAGCCUCAGCCACCGCCACCUCCUUCCUCUUCCUCUUCCUCUUCGACUUUGAUCACUCCACCGGAGGUGAGGUACCACCAUUUCUCUCUCGUGAUUUCGAUUUUCAUUUGAUCCGUGUUUUCUCUCUCGCCGAUUCAUCAUUUUUGUUCUCUGUCUUAUUAUAAUUAUUAUUAAACUGUUUUUCUGCAUGUCAUGGUUGAUUAGGGUUUGCUUGUUAGGAUUUAGGGUUUUGAAAUGAUUUUUUUUUAGCUUUGUCUAGUUUUAGGUUUAUUCUAAUUAUUAUUCUGGUUUCAUAUUUGAAUCGUUUUGCAAUGCAUGGCAGGGUUAUGUAUAAUGUUUAUACGUUAUUUGUUUAAAUUAAAGGAAAUUAUUUUGUUAGUUGAUUGAAUUUAUGUUGUGAAUUUAUUGUGUUUGAUUUGCGUUUUUUGUGAAUUAAUUAUUUGAUUUUUUGUGGUGCCACAGAGAUGGCUGCGACUGAUGGAGCUCCCACCCCUCAGAUGGUUGGCAAUGCUUUUGUGGAGCAGUACUACUCAAUUCUCCAUCAUGAUCCGGAGCAGGUUCACAGGUUUUACCAUGAGACGAGUAUCCUCAGUCGACCUGAAGAAGAUGGUACUAUGACCACGGUCACUACUACUGUCGUAAGUACCCGCCAUACACUUAAAUGAAUUAUCCUAUAUAUAUACCGAGCUGUAUAAUUGCAGGUGUUGCUCAUGUUAAACUGUAUUUAUCCUAUGAUUUUUCAUGUCUUGAUCUGUUAUUGCAAAACUUCCAAAUUGAUGUUUUUUAAUAUUAAAAAAUAUUAGUUAUUUAACGGACUCGAAUUAAAUUUUACCGGGAGCACCUAAGUGUGGUUUAUGUGCUUUACUUGAGUGGGGGAGGGGACAGGGUUUUUGACCAAUAAAGAAUAAAAAACUAUUUAUCAGAAAAAUAUUUUUUUUUACUAAUGUAGGCAAUUUAUGCCACGUGGGUAGUUGAUGUUGAAAGCCGAAAGUGGCGGACUGGCGGUUAGAAAACGCCAACUUGUUCAGCAGUUUUGGCGAUCCCUGCGCCUCAACUAAAAGCUGGCAGACAAAUACAUUCUGGAGCUAAAUUUAUCACUCUACCCUAUAUUGAUCAUUUUGAACAAAAAGAAUCAAGCCUACCUCUUCUCUCCCUAUAUAGAUCUUUCAGGCGAUUGCGCCUGCGACAACAAUUUACCUUGUUGCGGCAAUAGGGAAAAUACAGCAAUUUUUUUAUCAAUUAGGAACCAGCCUCACAUGAUUGUCACAUGUGCUUUUGUCCCUUUAAAACUGCCUCCAUAAAAAAUCGGGGAGCAACCGAUACAGUACGUAAUUACGUUGAAACCCUGUAAACACAUAAUCUCUCUUCUUCCUCCAUUGACCUCGAUUCCUUUUUUCUCUAUCAUCUCUUGCGACUUAGAGUAGGUUUUUGGCGAGCUUCCUGGGCCACCAACAAUAGUUACAUCAUGCUCUGUUUUUUUAAUAAAUUCUUCCUUUACCUUCUGUUUUUUGCUAUUUUGUUUUCCAUCUUUCAUUGUUAUUUGUUUUCUUGCUCUUUUAAUAACUUGUUUUUUUUAUCUUGUGACAAGCUUAAAUGAAUUUCUUACUUAUUUCAACCUCUAUGUGACUUCCUCUUUUUGCCCGUGAUGCUAUCCGCUAUAUGACAAGCAGAUUUUCCUUGUUCUACGAUUAACAAACUGGUCUGGAGAGGAUGACCUUCAUUUAAACCUUCCCUCUUUUAAUUGUUGUAUAUUUGGCCUUUUUGCACACCUUGUCCCACAUCAUUAAGAAAUCACUUUCAUCAUGCUUUGAAUAUUUUUAGUAGAUGUCUUUAUAUUAAUUGUGUGUGCAUCUUUUGUUUUUAUCAACAUUUUUUGUACUCCUUACUUAAAGUAUUAGAGAUAAUCUUGUUUGCCCUGUACAGAUUUCAUGAUAAAUGUAGUACUAGCAAUCCCCCUUUUACUGCUCCAGCUCAUGUGUAACUCAGUUCAUUUGAACUCUCAUCUAAGUAUUGUGUUUUUCAUAAUUUGAGUUUGAUAUGGUGUAUUGCAAUAAAUGAUUUUACAUCUGCUGACUUCAAUGAUUUUUGUUUUGGUACAGGAAAUAAAUAAAAAGAUACUCUCUCAGGAUUACAAGAGCUUUAGGGUGGAGAUUCUGAGUGCUGAUUCUCAGCCUUCAUAUAAGGAAGGUGUAAUAGUUGCAGUGACUGGCUGCUUAACUGGAACUGACAAUAUGAAGCGGAAGUUUGCUCAGUCAUUUUUCCUAGCUCCACAGGACAAGGGCUACUUUGUUUUGAAUGAUGUUUUUAGAUAUGUUGAUGAGUACAAGUCUGUUGAUAUUGAGUCUGUGCCAUCACGUGAUGCUGAUGAAAUUACUCUAUCUGAUGCUUUUGCCCCCGAGCCUGGUAAAUAUUCUAUGUAGUUAGUAGCUUGAGAGGGGUUUACAUUUUUUGAAAAGAAAUUUUCUGAACUGUUCGAUUUAAUGGAUACAGAUAUACAAUUAUAUUUACUGGAUAAUUGAUAAGGAUGCUAGAAUAUAUAUAUAUAUAUAUAUAUAUAUAUAUAUAUAUACACACAUACAUACAUACACACAUGAAUCUAUCGACAAAUGAAUUUGAAACUAACUUCUGAUGCUAUUUCGUUCAAAAUAUAUGGUCUGUCAUCCUGUGCCUCCCAACAUUUUAUAUAAUUGUUAAAUGUUUUGGUUUUUAUGAUUUUGUUUAUGGUUGUGAAUAUAGAGCCCAAUCAUGUUCCUGAAGACAUUCCUCCUAGUCAAACUGCUAUUGCUGAAACUGAUGCUAGCAUCAGGAAAGAAGUGUCUCAACCACUGGAGAAUGGAAAAUUAUCAGUUACUGAAAAGGUGAUUCCUGUUAAUCAUGUUGAAGAGUCAAAUCAUCAGGAACAUCACUCAAGCUCUGAGAAAGCUGAUUCUAAUACACAGGAGGAUGCUCCUAAGAAGUCUUUUGCAUCCAUUGUAAGUUUUAUUUUUUUGUUUAUUAUUUCUUCAUUUUGUUUUGUAGUGUCUGACAAUAACUUUUCUGUAAUGAUUUCUUCCAGGUCAAUGCAUUGAAUGAAAAUGCUGCUCCCUUCCAUGUGAGGACUUCCCCUAUGAAACCUGUAGAACAGCCUCGUGUCUCUAGCAAGCCUGCAUCUGAAGCUCAAGCUCCUAUCGCUGAUGUCCUACUGGAAAAGAAUAAUGAGAAUGCAGGUUAAUUUACCAUUUUAGUGACUAGUAUGGUCAAUUUUAUACAAUUCAGUUAAAAGUUGCCUCAUUUGUUCAGGAUGUUAUCUCAUAACUAAUAACCUUCACAGGUAAGGCUCAUGCCAUAUUUGUUGCGAAUUUACCUAUGAAUGCUACCGUAGAGCAACUGGAACGGGCUUUUGUGGAAUUUGGGCCCAUUAAAACCAAUGGUAUUCAAGUUAGAAGUAAUAAGGUUAGUCUGUCAUAAUCAUUUCUACUAUCAAGUUUAGUAAAUGCAGUUUAAAGUUAAACAACUACAGGAUAUAAUUUUUUCUUUUUUCUUUUUCAGCAACAAGGAUCUUGUUUUGGUUUUGUGGAAUUUGAAUCUGCUGCGUCAAUGCAAAGUGCACUUGAGGUAGAGUUUGGAAUUUUUAUUGGUAGUUAAAAAUCUAUUGUCAAGGUCCUUUGUUGAAUGUUGAUUGGGUUUCAGAAAUCUUUAUCGUUGAAUGUUUUAUUGUCAAUGCAAAUUGCAGGAUAUUUUUUUAUCUAUCGUGAGGAGUGAUGUUUCCCUUUCUUUUGAAUUUUCAAUGCAUAAUAACUAUAUUUUCCAAUCAGCGCUGCUAUAUGUUCUGAAAAGCAGGCUCUUUGAAACCCAUGAUCAGAAUUUUGUUCACUGCGUACAGCACACACUUUUUGAAACAAAACUAAACUAGUUGCCUGUUUUUACAGAUCUGAAAACCAAUCAAAUUAAAUUUUUCCUACUCGUACCAUUUAGUAUUUCACUUUUCCAAUGCAUUAGAAGCGCAUGGUUCCAAUUGCAAGCUAUUCCAUAUGACAAGCAUGUGUACUUUUUCAGGCCGCUGUUAUAUUGGACAACCGCAGACUAUCCAUUGAAGAAAGGCGAGGCAAGUGUGACAUUAUUUUUGUUAAAUUUGAACAUCCUCAUUUUUCAGUUUUCAUGUUUUGUUUAUUAUUUCCCAUGAGUUCUGUCUUCGACUAAUGUUUGCUCUAAAAAGUGGUGUAUAAUCGUGAUUUGCUUCCUUUCUAGAUUCUCUAAAACCAAUGCAAAUAUUAAUUUAAGUUAAAACUGCGAGGGUAUAGAUUCAUGUACCUGGUGACAUUGGGAACAUUUAGAACAUUGUCGCUAAAUAUUUUGUAUUAUUUGUUGCAGCUAAUAAUGACAGGGCCAGAUAUCCAUCAGGACGCGGUGGAUACCGAAAUGACAGAAAUGAUAGCUUCAGGGGCCGUGGCAACUUCGGUGGUGGCAACUUUGGUGGUGGCCGUGGUGGUGGCUACAACGGCAGGAAUGAUUUUGAGAGGCGAAAUGAGUUCUCUGGCCGACCACGAGGUGGCAAUAAUAUGGGACGUAACAAUGGAGAAACUGCGCCAAGGAGUUAUCAGAAUGGUCAGACUGGUCAGAAUGGAGGAAGAGUCGCUCGCCAACCGGUGAAAGCUCAGUAAAGCGCUUUUAGUUGGUAAUUUAGUUACAACGGAAUUUUCUUAUAGAUAGCGGCAUCUAAGGGAUUUUGGUUUUCAUUUGGAUUAGAGUCUUUUUCUUUUAAUAGCUGUCAUGAUUCUUUCGGGCAGUUGUUUUUGGUUAAAUUAAGUGAUUCCAUAUUUAGUUCUCUCCCGAUUUUUGUUACAUUUUGUAUCUAAGUUUUGGUAUGAUUGUUUUGUGGAAUUGGCUACAUUUAUAUACCAUUUUUUAAGAAACAAAAUCAAUGUUUCGUGCUAACAUUUGUUUUAUUGGUUGAAGUUCAUGCUGAUCCUAUCAAAUAGGUGGGAAUUCAUAUAUUGAAAUCCAUGUGGAUUUUAAUUAUUAGGAGGAUUUCAAUUAAUAGGAGUGCGUUAUAUAGAGUUAACAGUUGUUAUUUGCACCGGUGUUGGUUGUUGUGGUUAAAAGAGUUUGCAUGCAUCCAAUGGUUUCAAAGAAACUAGUUUUCAUUAUAUCCGGAUUGAAUAAGAUUGCCUUAAUAGAAGAUACUUGUGUUUGAAUUUUUGUGAGGAAAAUACAAGUCUUCUUAUAUUUGUAAGGUUAAAAGAAUAGGAUUCAUUGGUUUAAUUAAUUACUAGUGGUAAAUGUCAGUUAGUAUUUCAAUCUUCAAUUUUCAAUCUUCAAUCUCCCGUAGAGUUCUUAAUCCCGUAGAGUUCUUGUUUGUUUAGCGUUAGUAUUUCAAUCUUCAAUUUUUGGUUUAAAACAAAGAUCGUACCACUAAGCUAAGGGCACAAUUCAUAGUAAAGCCAAUUCGUCUUGUUUCUUGUUUUUUUUUUUUUUUGGUCAAUAUCUUGUUUCUUGUUGUGCUAAUGUGUAUGUGCUCUUUUCUUGUUCGUGUAUGGGAUUUGGCCCAUGUCUUUUAUGUCGGAUUAUCGCCACCCAAAAAAAGAAACAUGGGCAAGAUGAAUUUCAACGAGUUGAUUCUGAAUUAAUUUUAGAAUUGAGUUUUAGGAUGUUCUAAAAAUAAGUUUUCAGAAUAGAGUUUAUGGAAAGUCGUUUUUUUUCCUACAAUACUUAAAAAGAAAAAAGGGAACGGGGAAGCCCAGAGACCAAGUACCUCUCAAUAUUAGAAGUAAAUUGGAUAGCAUCAAUAGUAGCCAAAGUAGUCCUCUUGGUCGCACGAAGGCCAUUACAACCGAAAAUCUUAUAUUUCGACUCAUUAACUUUCAUCCUCGAAGCCCAACAAAAGUUAUCAAGCAUCUCCUUCAAACGCCUCACCUGACUGCUCAUAGCUUUCACAAACAGAAGAA
rnacentral:lncRNA from 1 species